GGAAACUGGUGUCAGGACGUAAAGUUAAUUAAAAAUAUAAAAUGAAAGAGAAAGGAAGGAAGGAGGAAAGAAAGAAAGAGAGAAGGAAGGAAGGAAGAAAAAAGAGAGAGACAGAGAGAGAAAGAAAGAAAGAGAGAGGGGGAGAGAGAAAGAAAGAGAGAGAGGGGAGAGAGAGAAAAGAAAGAAAGAAAGAAAGAAAGAAAGAAAGAAAGAAAGAAAGAAGGAAGGAAGGAGGAAGGAAGGAAGACAGAAAGAAAGAAAGAAAGAAAGAAAGAAAGAAAGAAAGAAAGAAAGAAAGAGAAAGAGAAAGAGAAAGAAAGGAUCCCACCUAGAAAGUCAGUUCUCAAUGGACAAUUCAGACUAUUUCUCUUUCCCUAUAGAUCAUACAAAGAAUGUUUAUUCUAUUUUAUUAUUUUUUUUAAGGAUAAAGUGUGGGUAUAUUUGAGUCUGCUCACUAAGUGAUCUAAGAUAUUGACAAAAUGUUUUGGUGGUUAUCACUACUUUCUCUUUAGUAAACAAGUAUUUCUUUUAGUAAGUUUAGACCGUUUUUCAUAUCGAUGGAAAUUGCUUCAGGGAUGCAUAUGUGUAUGCCAGAAUCCUCCGCAGUAGGAGAAAAAGUUUUCAUCUACUUCAAAUGUAUUUUCUCUUGUAUCUGAAACAUGCCAAAAUAUAAAUAUGUAUUUUUAAUUAAGUAAUGACUUAUAGCCCAAUCUGUAAAUGAAAGUAUUCCUGUGAUAAAUUUGUAGGCAUAGAAUGUUUUAACUUGAGUUUAAACUAUGUUCGACUGUGCCCCAAGAGUGCCAUAAAAACUACCACAUCACAGAAUUUGUCCCAGAAAAUAAAACUAUCAAAUGGGUUAAUUGUGAUUAGGAGACAGAUAUUUUUUCCAUAACAGACAAUCUAGAAGUUAAAUAUUCUGAUAACUUGGUGGAACUUGGAUUGUGAAAAGUAUAUCUAGUUCACUAAUGUGAAUAACAGAUUAUACCAAACUCAUUUAUCACAAUGUUUCAAGCUCUCAUUUACUAACACCAGUAUGUUCUGAGUAAGACCCAGGCUUCAUGGGCCAGUUUAAGCUAUCCAGGUAGCUCGUUAUAAGCAUGUCCAACAUUGCACCAUAUACGUAGCUCUUUUAUUUCAUUUAAUUCAUUCCUUCUUUAGCUGGUGAAAACAGCUGUUUUCUGUAAUAAAUAUUUUGUAGUAGUAAGAGACAACAUUGAGUUGUCAGACUUGGACUUAGGAAGGUCACUAAUAAUGUCGUUUAUUAUUAUUUACUAUUAUUUCUAUUUCUUCAAGACAAGAUUUCUCUGUGUAAUCCUGGCUGUCCGGAAACUCAUGUCACAGACUAGGGUGAUCUCAAUCUCACCCUACCUGCCUCUGCUGGGAUUAAAGCGCCACCACCUGCCUUUAAGGACAUCUGUGAGUGUAGGUUGUUUUAGCCUCCCAUGCUGUGACAAAUAGCUGAGAGAAUUCAGGUUUGAACGAAGGAAUGUUUACUUGGCUCACUGUUUCAGUCAACAGUCUGCCGGCAUCAUCUCUUUUAGGGCUAUGUUAUGGAAGUCAGGAACCAGAGAGAAGUGUCUUAGGUCAAAAUAAUUCUCUAAAUCAUGCUACCAUUCUUCCCCAAUGACACCAGUCUUACAACAUAAUUUCAACCGACUGUCAACAGUGCCACCUGCUGGAGAGCAUCUGCAUUGUCUUGGAGGCACAUUUCCUUUUUUUUUUUUUUUUUUUUUUUUUUUUUCUCGAACAGGGUUUCUCUGUGUAGCCUUGGCUGCCCUGAACCUCACUCUGUAAACCAGGCUGGCCUGGAACUCAAAAAUCUGCCUGCCUCUGCCUCUUGAGUGCUGGGAUUAAAGGUGUGGUGGCACAUUUCAUAAUUGCAAACACUUCACAAUUGCAAACACUUCACAAUUGCAAACACUGCUUAGCAGUGCUUAAAAAUUUUGCCUCUCAGAACUUACCUUAUUCAUGGGCUUGAAGUAAUACUCUUAGUCUGUAUGAUUAAAAGAAGCAUAAUAAGGUAAUUUAUUUAUAAAAGAUAUUUGAAAGACUACACCCAAAAUAUUCACUACCCCAGAACUGUUAACAAGAAAGGACAUGCCUCUUAGAAUCAAUUCAUUUUUCAUCUAACUGUUGUAUAUUGUUUCCAAUGUAUCACAUGAGGAAGGCCAUGAUCAACUAAACAGAUGAGCUCUGAAAUACAGUCCAUUCUUAUAGCAGUCAUCCCCUCCUCGGCCAUCAGCUCAUCCUUCUACACCAGGGAAAGGCAUAGACUUUAUUCUAUUUCCCUUUAUCUCCUACCUCUAUUAUGCAGAAAAAAGUAAAUAGUGCAAAAGAGAGAUGGGUCUAAGCAGCUGAGAUCUCUGAGGAGAUCAGGACAACAUAGGAGAAAAGUUUCAUCUUCAAUGAAUAUAUAUCCAUUGAAAUAUACAUACAUACAUACAUACAUACAUACAUACAAACACACACACACACACACACACACACGCAGAAUACAUUCUCAGGUAUAGUAAGACAGGUGUCCCAUUUUCUUUCUGGCUUUAGGACCACUCAGUUCAUCAAGUUGUAGCUAUAUGGCCAUUCACAACAUGACGGCUUAUUUUUUAUAAUCCAGUAGAGCAAUCUAUCUGCACUUGGCUGUGGUAGCCUGCUAUAUAAAGUGUAUCACUUCACAGUGUUCCAACUGUGACCUUUCUCAUGUAGCAACGGUGAAUAUGACAUCCCAUUACAUUCGUAGCUCCUGCAAAGAGUCAAAAGAAGAAAUUAUACAAGUGGGAAAAGAUGACAACCUCACUGACAUCUGAGAUCUAUUCAGGGAAGAGGUGAACAGAGGAGCCAGAUAGCCUGCAGCUGGAAUUUCUGAGCCAUCAACCCUGUGAGAAAAAUGUGUCAAUGUUUUCUUACCUGCUGUACUUUGUGAUACUUCAAUAGAAUUACCAUAAGUAUAGUCAAUUAUUCCAAUAGUUAGAUUUGCAUGCUGUAUAAAAUAGAGCCCUUUUAUAUCAAUGCAUGACUUAUAUAACUUACUUAAUAUUUAGUAUAAAUGUCCAUUAGCUUCCAAAAUAUUAAUAUGCUGGGUAUAGUGUCCUAUGUGAAUACUGCUGCACAGUUACAUAUUAAUGUGCUGUGGAAGCCCUUACCGAAGGUGUUCAGUCAUGCACUUAACAUGUGUAGUGUUACCCUCUAAACUCUAAAAAGCACAUUUGUCAUUAUAGCCUCAAAUGUAUGAGGAAAUACAGUUUUAAAAUUAAAUACCGAAGUUCCCCAAAAAGACCAUUAAGAAGGGGAGUGUUGCUAGAAUUUAUAAGCCAAGGAGUAAUAUCACCGUUUGUCACUUAAAAUAUCUUUCAUAAUGAUAUUAGGAAAAGCUAUCU
rnacentral:lncRNA from 1 species